rnacentral:rRNA from 1 species
UAGUCAUAUGCUUGUCUUAAAGAUUAAGCCAUGCAUGUCUAAGUACACGCUCCGGCAUAGCAAAACCGCAGAAGGCUCAGUAUUUCGGCCAAUAUUCAUUUGAUCAAUGCCCUUUACAUGGAUAACUGUGGCAAUUCUAGAGCUAAUACAUGGAUCCCCGCACCGACCUUACGGGACGUGCGCAUUUGUCAGACUAAAAACCAAUCGGCCUGCCGUUCGCGCGGCGAGCCGUUCUGUGGUGAACCAUGAUAACCUCCUAGACGCUGACCGCACGGUCUCGUACCGGCGGCCCAUCUUUCGAAUGUCCGCCUUAUCAACUUUCGAUGGUAGAUUAAGUGCCUACCAUGGUGAUAACGGGUAACGGGGAAUCAGGGUUUGAUUCCGGAGAGGGAGCCUGAGAAACGGCUACCACAUCCAAGGAAGGCAGCAGGCACGCAAAUUACCCACUCCCGGCACGGGGAGGUAGUGACAAGAAAUAACAAUACAGGACUCUUUCGAGGCCCUGUAAUUGGAAUGAGUACACUUUAAAUCCUUUAACGAGGAUCUAUUGGAGGACAAGUCUGGUGCCAGCACCCGCGGUAAUUCCAGCUCCAAUAGCGUAUAUUAAUGCUGCUGCAGUUAAAAAGCUCGUAGUUGGAUCUGGCGUGCGGGCGCGCGGUCCGCCUUGGGGCGGCUACUGCGUGUCCCGACGUACCUCUCGGCAGCGUCUAGUUGCUCUUAGCUGAGUGACUACGUCGCUCCGGAAUGUUUACUUUGAAAAAAUUAGAGUGUUCAAAGCAGGCGCGCUCUCGCCUGAAUAGUGGUGCAUGGAAUAAUGGAACAAGACCUCGGUUCUAUUUUGUUGGUUUCCGGAUUUGACACGAGGUAAUGAUUAAGAGGGCCUGCUGGGGGCAUCCGUAUUGCUGCGUUAGAGGUGAAAUUCUUGGAUCGCAGCAAGACGAACGGCGGCGACAGCAUUUGCCAAAAAUGUUCUCCUCUAAUCAAGAGCGAUAGUCGGAGGUUCGAAGGCGAUCAGAUACCGCCCUAGUUCCGACCAUAAACGAUGCCGACUGACAAUCCGCAGGCGUUAUUACAAUGACUCUGCGGGCAGCUUCCCGGGAAACCUCAAGUUUUCAGGUUCCGGGGGGAGUAUGGUUGCAAAGCUCAAACUUAAAGGAAUUGACGGAAGGGCACCACCAUGGAGUGGAGCCUGCGGCUUAAUUUGACUCAACACGGGGAACCUCACCCGGUCCGGACAACGUUAGGAUUGACAGAUCGAGAGCUCUUUCUUGAUUCGUUGGUUGGUGGUGCAUGGCCGUUCUUAGUUGGUGGAGUGAUUUGUCUGGUUAAUUCCGAUAACGAACGAGACUCUGGCCUACUAACUAGUUCGUCGACCCACCGUUGUCGGCGCCAACUUCUUAGGGGAACAGGCGGCGUUUAGCCGCACGAAAUAGAUCAAUAACAGGUCUGUGAUGCCCUUAGAUGUCCGGGGCCGCACGCGCGCUACACUGAAGGAGACAGCGUGUGCUUGCCUGUUCCGGAAGGAACGGGCAACCCGAUCAAUCCCUUUCGUGCUAGGGAUUGGGAAUUGCAAUUUUUUCCCAUGAACGAGGAAUUCCCAGUAAGCGCGAGUCAUCAGCUCGUGUUGAUUACGUCCCUGCCCUUUGUACACACCGCCCGUCGCUACUACAGAUUGAAUGAUUUAGUGAGGUCUUUGGACUGGCCCCUGCGAGGCUGGCAACGGUCGCGCCGGUGUGCUGGGAAGAUGACCAAACUUGAUUAUUUAGAUGAAGUAAAAGUCGUAACAAGGUUUCC